GACGAACGCUGGCGGCGUGCUUAACACAUGCAAGUCGAACGGAAAGGCACUACUUUUGUUGGGUGCUCGAGUGGCGAACGGGUGAGUAACACGUAGGUAACCUGCCCUUUAGUGUGGGAUAACUUCUGGAAACGAUGGCUAAUACCGCAUAAGAGCUGCUGCUGCAUGAUGUUUGUUGGAAAGUUGCGUCGGUUUGGGUAGGACGCGGGGCUUCUCAGCUUGUUGGUGUGGGAGUGGCUUACCAAGGCUUUGACGGGUAGCCGGCCUGAGAGGGUGACAGGCCACAUUGGGAUUGAGAAACGGGCAGGACUGCUACGGGAGGAAGCAGUGGGGAACAGUCCACGAUGGGCGGAAGCCGGAUGCAGCAAUGUCGCGUGCGGGAUGACGGCCUUCGGGUUGGAAACCGCUUUAGCCUGUGACGAAGCGUGAGUGACGGUAAUUGGUAAAGAAGCAACGGCUAACUACGUG
rnacentral:rRNA from 1 species